rnacentral:rRNA from 1 species
GUCGAGAAUAAUUCACAAUGGGGGCAACCCUGAUGGUGCAACGCCGCGUGGAGGAUGACGGUCUUCGGAUUGUAAACUCCUGUCAUCUGGGAGUAAGACCUGGCGAUGAAUAGUCGACAGGGUUGAUAGUACCAGAAGAGGAAGGGACGGCUAACUUCGUGCCAGCAGCCGCGGUAAUACGAAGGUCCCAAGCGUUGUUCGGAAUCACUGGGCGUAAAGGGAGCGUAGGCGGCGUGGUAAGUCAGAUGUGAAAUCCCGGGGCUCAACCCCGGAACUGCAUCCGAUACUGCCAUGCUAGAGGAUUGGAGAGGUAGCUGGAAUUCUUGGUGUAGCAGUGAAAUGCGUAGAGAUCAAGAGGAACACUCGUGGCGAAAGCGAGCUACUGGACAAUUCCUGACGCUGAGGCUCGAAGGCUAGGGUAGCGAAAGGGAUUAGAUACCCCAGUAGUCC